AGAUUUUGACCCGCGCUUUCAAAGCGCGGAUAUAUUUAUUGUUUGAUAACUUUUUUUAAUUGAAAGAAUUUUUUUAAUUUUUAUAUUUUAUGUAUAAUAUUUAUUAAAAUUAUUAUAAUUUUUGUUAACUGUAUUGAAUUUGUGAAAUUAACUAUACACUUGUACCAUAGCCAUUUCACACAUUAAUUAUAAAUUUAAUUCCUAACUUUCAUAACAUAUUUUUUUCUUCUUAGUUUUGUGACUAUUGUCCAAUAAUAUAUAGUAAUUAUUGCUCAAAUUAUAUACUAAACAAUGAUAUUUCUGUUUUUAUAAUAUCAAAUUCUAGUUCCAAUUUUUAGUAUAAAAAUGUAUAUUAAUAUUAUCUAAUUAAAUAUCAAUUAGGCAAUCAAUUUUAAUGAUAAUAUUAUUAAAACAAUAUCAAUUUAAAAGGCCCAUAGUAAUCAAACCAAAUGUUAAAAAUUAUUAGAUUUUAUUAAUAGUCGAGGCCCAAAGCUUAAUUUUAAAACAUCUUAGACAAAAAACUCAUUCACCUUUGGUGUUGUUUUUUUCUUUUUUUUGCUGUCGAGACCUUUGGUGUCUCUUUCUGGAAAAUUGAAAGCUGGAAAAUAUCAGAACAUUCUCUCUUUAUUACCACCGAUUGUUCUGGUCUUAAACUCAUGGAUCUGUAAAACUCAACUCCGACCGUUCAGAUUAGACUCCUCCGUUUAUUCCGAUGGUCGAUCUAAGGAUCGAAGAGCAAGUCAAAGAUCUGAUAAAAGCAUGAAACAAAGUGAAACAGAAGCUUCAAAACUCGGUAGAUUCACCGAGGAUGAGAAGAAAGAUGAGUCUGAGAUGGUUGUCGAUUGUAUCAUAAGAAGUGUUGGAAGACAACCAAACGAUUUCUUAUGAAUGUGAGAUUGGAAUGAUCUUGAAGAGUCUGAAGACGAUGUGAAUCGAUCAAAGACUACGAACUUUAUCCUUCUAUGAAGGAAAACAUGACUUCAAUAUAAAAGAUAAGUUAUUUUCAGAAAGUUUGUCUUUUUUACAUUAGAUAUAAUGUAUCUGCCAUUAGAACCUUGACAUGAACAAUCUUGUUAGUGUGCCUUGGCUUCAAGUCGCUGAUGGCGGUGAUUUCUUCAAUAGAAGCCAUUUUUUGGUUUGAGGUAUGAGUUUGUUUAGGAAAAGGCUUCGGUAUUUAUAAUAGGAAGAGGUAAUAGGAAGAGUAUAUUAGGUAUUCGAAAACUUGUAGGCUACUCUAAAUAUUUGCGAGAUUUUUAUAGUUAAUAGUACUAAAUGCAGUUACCAAUUUGAAACGGUUGAAUAUUCUGUGAGUAAGUUACAUGCAAUCUAGAUUAUAGAUUGAUUUUUUUUUGAACCGUUAAUGUAGCUUCUGCGUAUCUUUUUUUUCUAAUAUUAGUUGUACAUUUAUUUUAGAAAUACCAUAAUUGUAGCUAAUUCAUAUCUUCCACAUUUUAAAUCGGAAAAUCAUAUAGGGAAUAUUAUGUUGUUAACAUUAUUAAUACUUGCCGCAAUUUAGGAGACUUUUAAAAUUGAUUACGAAAUGUAGAGAAUGAUUUGAAUUUUUUUUAGUUAGAAUAGAUAUGGGAUCAUGAUAGGGAAUAUUAUGUUGUUAGAUCGUAUCAUCUUUUUUGUAUAUUUAUUUUUACAUUUAUUAUAGGUAUCAAAUAGGGAAUAUUAUGUUGUUACUAUUGUGAAUACUUGCCUAAAUCUUGGAAUUAUACCCUACUUGUCAAAAUCUAUGAAUACCUUACAUCUUAUACGCAAUAUAAUUAUGUUGUUAUUUUUUU